rnacentral:rRNA from 1 species
CCUACGGGAGGCAGCAGUGAGGAAUAUUGGUCAAUGGUCGGGAGCCUGAACCAGCCAAGCCGCGUGAGGGAUGAAGGUACAGCGUAUCGUAAACCUCUUUUGUCAGGGAACAAAGGCGGGGACGUGUCCCCGGAUGAGUGUACCUGAAGAAAAAGCAUCGGCUAACUCCGUGCCAGCAGCCGCGGUAAUACGGAGGAUGCGAGCGUUCUCCGGAUUUAUGGGGUUAAAGGGGUGCGCAGGCGGUCUGUUAAGUCAGCGGUCAAAACCCGGGGCUCAACCCCGGCCCGCCGUUGAAACUGGCAGUCUCGAGUUGGAGAGAAGGAGGCGGAAUGCGCGGUGUAGCGGUGAAAUGCAUAGAUAUCGCGCAGAACUCCGAUUGCGAAGGCAGCAUGCCGGCUCCACACUGACGCUGAGGCACGAAAGCGUGGGUAUCGAACAGGAUUAGAUACCCGGGUAGUC